GAGACUCUGUGCGCGUGCAUAUCAAUAAGCGGAGGAAAAGAAACUAACUAAGGAUUCCCUUAGUAACGGCGAGUGGAGCGGGAAGAGCUCAAAUUUGAAAUCUUCAAGGUUCUACCUUGACGAAUUGUAGUUUAAAGAAGUGUUUUCUGUUGGAGUUUCGGUAAAAGUUCUUUGGAAUAGGACAUCAUAGAGGGUGAGAAUCCCGUAUUUGACCAUUUCUUCCAGCUGUGUGAUACACUUUCAAAGAGUCGGAUUGUUUGGGAAUGCAGUCCAAAAUGGGUGGUAAAUUUCAUCUAAAGCUAAAUAUUGGCGAGAGACCGAUAGCGAACAAGUACCGUGAGGGAAAGAUGAAAAGAACUUUGAAAAGAGAGUUAAACAGUACGUGAAAUUGUCAAAAGGGAAGCGUUUGACACCAGUGUUGUUUUCUCGAAAAUCAAUUAAAAAUGGCCGGAUUUUGUGUUGUAUUGACUUUAUCAGCUUUCUGCACUUUUUUCUUGUCUUUUUUAAUGCACUUUUCGUUUAACAAGUCAACAUCAAUUUCUUUUGUUGUAAAAGAGUCAUUGGAAGGUGGCUUUCAUUUCGGUGAAAGUGUUUAUAGCCUUUGACUUCUGCAAUCGGAGAGAUUGAGGUCUGCAGCGUAGAUCCUUCGGGGUUAGAUACAUUUGUGCUAAGUUAUAGUUUUUCAUAGACAACAUGUUGACUAUGAUUAAUCAUGUAGCUUACUCGCUUAUGCUAUUUUACCUACGCUUAGGAUGUUGACAGCAGUAUAGACUGU
rnacentral:rRNA from 1 species